rnacentral:rRNA from 1 species
AUGGCCGCCAAGAACUAUGGUGAAUUGUACAACAUCCUUGGCUGGGGUGAACCCUACUUCACCGUGAACAGGGACGGCCACCUUUGCGUCAAGACCCACGGCCACGAGACGAAGCCAGGGCAAGAGAUAGACGUGGUGUCCGUGGCUGAAGCUGCAAAGGAAAAGGGCGUUCAGUUCCCAAUGAUCCUCCGCUUCCCCGACGUGCUCAAGCACCGCCUUGACUCGCUCCACGUCGCAUUCGAUAAUGCCAUCAAGCACACAGGGUACACGGCGCCAUACCAGGGCGUGUACCCAGUGAAGGUGAACCAGAACAGGGCCAUCAUCAACGACUUUGUUAGCUUUGGCCACCGUCACAGCUACGGGCUGGAGGCGGGCUCCAAGCCAGAAUUGCUCAUCGCAAUGAGCUACCUUACCAAAGCCAAGCCUGGAGCCUUCCUGGUAUGCAAUGGGUACAAGGACGCGGACUACGUGGCGCUGGCGCUGUCGGCGCGUGCCAUGGGCCUGAAUGUCAUCAUCGUGUUGGAGAUGGAGGAGGAGUUGGACAUCAUCAUCGAGCAGAGCAGCAAGCUCGGGGUAGAACCGGUGCUGGGCGUGCGUGCCAAGCUGCUCACCAAGAUACCAGGCCACUUCGGGUCGACGGCCGGAAAGCACGGCAAGUUCGGCCUGCUUGCGGACAAGAUCUACGAGGUGGCCAAGAAGCUCAAGGAUCUCAACAAGCUGCACUGGCUCAAGUUGCUGCACUUCCACAUCGGCUCCAUGAUCCCGACCACGGACAUAGUGUCCAGUGCAGCCAGGGAGGCCUCCGGCAUCUACUGCACCCUGGUGAAGCAGUAUGGCGCGGAGAUGACGACGCUGGACUGCGGCGGGGGGCUCGGCGUCGACUACGACGGCACCCGGUCAGGCAGCUCCGACAUGUCGGUGGCGUACGGGCUGGAGGAGUACGCGUCCAGCAUUGUGCAGGCUGUGCGGCUCACGUGCGAGUACAAUGGCGGCGUUCCCCACCCUGUGCUGUGCACCGAGAGUGGCCGCGCCAUGGUGUCACACCACUCGAUGAUCAUCCUCGAGGCCCUCUCGGCGAUCCCAGAGCCCAAGGACGACGAGACCCCCGAGCAGCUGCACAGCAAGAUCCAGCGUCUCUCCUCCAAUCCGCCGCCGCCGAGAGCACUCAUGGCCACGGACCUCCAGAAGCAUGCCACGGACAUCCAAAAGCACGGGGUCGAGCUGUACAAGCUGGCCAAGAAGCUCUCCAAGCGGAUCGCCGGCGACGCCAACACCAUCUACAACUACCACAUGAACCUCUCCAUCUUCUCGCUGGUUCCCGACUUUUGGGGCAUCAAGCACCUCUUCCCGAUGAUGCCGGCGAGCCGGCUCAACGAGAAGCCGACUCAAAUGGGCACGCUCAUCGACAUCACCUGCGACAGCGACGGCAAGAUUGACAAGUUCAUAGGCAAUGUCGAGACGCUGCCGCUGCACCCGGUGGACCCUGAGAGCGGCGGCUACUACGUGGCCGUGCUCCUGUCCGGCGCCUACCAGGAAGCCCUUUCUUGCAAGCACAACCUGUUCGGUGGCCCAAGCAUAGUGCGGGUCGAGAACAGCACCGGCGGCGGCAUCGACGGUGGUGGUGGUGGCUUCGACAUCGCCACAGCCGACAGGGGCCCGACGACGGAGGAGCUCAUCAGCACCGUCGGGUACGACGUCAAGGAGGACAUUCGCGGCGUGAUCGAACAGCGCGCCAGGGAAAAGGGCGUGUGGGAGAAGGUGGGGGUGUUCGUGCAGGCCGGGCUUACCUCCAUGCCCUACCUCGUCGAAUACAAGGUCCCACGAACCGCCUAA